rnacentral:miRNA from 1 species
UUGGGCUGAGCCAUGUUAAUU